ensembl:lncRNA
UUCUUGACCCUAAUCAGUCAGGCUUCAAGACGGGUCACUCAAACGAGGACUGGUCUUCUCUGUGUCAUGGAGGCUCUCCACACUGCCAAAGCUGACUCUCUCUCCUCUGUUCUCAUCCUCCUAGAUCUAUUCGCUGUAUUUGACACCGUGAACCAUCAGAUCCCUCUCUCCACCCUCUUGUGGCUGGGUGUUUUAGGUUCUACACGCUGGCAGGCCGCUCCUACCAGGUGACGUGGAGAAGAUCUGUGUCUGCAUCACAUACUCUCACUACUGGUAUUCCGCAGGGCUCGGUUCUAGGUCCUCUCCUCUUCUCUCUAUGCUAGGCUCUGUCAUAUCCUCACAUGGUUUCUCCUAUCAUUGCUAUGCGGAUGAAACGCAAGUACUUUUCUCCUUCCCCCCCUUCUUACACCCAGGUGGCGACACGCAUCUCUGCAUGACCGGCAGAUAUCUCAGCUUGGAUGUCGGUCCACCACCUCAAGCUCAACCUCGACAAGACAGAGUUGCUCUUCCUACCGGGGAAGGCCGAUCCUACCUCACACAGAAAGCGGCACAGGUCUUAAUCCUUAAUCAUCUCCCGUCUGGACUACUACAACAAACUGUUGGAGCUUAUCCAGAACGCUGCAGCCCGCCUGGUGUUUAACCUUCCUAAAAUUCUCCCACAUCUGAAACCUUACCUCUUAAAAGAUUAUCUUAAAUAAACCCACAGCACUUGACUCGUUUCUCGCACUUUACUCUUUCCCUCUUACUAGCUCUGACUUUGCUGAAAGCUAUGAGGAAAAAUGUAUUUACUAUGUAUUUACUAUGACUGUGAUAUGUGGUUGUCCCACAUAGCUAUCUUAAGAUGAUUAAUACUUUUUUACCCCCUGCUACAGAUGGCUAUGUCGGUCUGCUAAUACAGGACUAGUAAAGGCCCAGUGCAAUUAUUAUUAUUUUUUUUUUUACAAAAUCAGAUUUUUUUCAUGGGGUGCUGUAGCGCCCUCAGCACCCAUAUUUCUCGUGGCUAUGCACACACACACGCAAACAUACUCUACUAUUUCUUUGCAAUAUCACUAUUUCUCUUCACUCCCAUAUGGUAAAAAAUAAAUGUAAAAUAUAUUUUUAGAUACAUUUUUGGACACACCUACUCAUUCAAGGGUUUUUCUUUAUUUUACUAUUUUCUGCAUUGUAGAAUAAUAGUGAAGACAUCAAAACUAUGAAAUAACACAUGGAAUCAUGUGGUAACCAAAAAAGUGUUUAACAAAUCAAAAUAUAUUUUAUAUUUACA